AGCUCCAAUAGCGUAUAUUAAAGUUGUUGCAGUUAAAAAGCUCGUAGUUGAAUUUUGCCCCGGGUUAAGUGGUCUAGCCUCACGGUUAGCACUGCUUCGGCCUGGGGUUUCCUUCUAGCGAACUAUCGUGCUCUUAACUGGGUGUGGUAGGGAACUAGGACUUUUACUUUGAAAAAAUUAGAGUGUUCAAAGCAGGCAUACGCUUGAAUACAUUAGCAUGGAAUAAUAGAAUAGGACUUUGGUUCUAUUUUGUUGGUUUCUAGGACCGAAGUAAUGAUUAAUAGGGAUAGUUGGGGGCGUUAGUAUUUAAUUGUCAGAGGUGAAAUUCUUGGAUUUAUGAAAGACUAACUUCUGCGAAAGCAUUCGCCAAGGAUGUUUUCA
rnacentral:rRNA from 1 species